UUCAAUUCCGGCACUGCUCCGUAAGGAGUCUCGGUACAUCCUCCCCGUGGCAUGUGUGGGCUUCCUCCAGGUCCUUCAGUUUUGUCCCGCAGUCCAAGGACUACCUGAUGCUGCACAACCUGCUGAGUUUCUCAAGAUUCUUUGCUCCAGACUCCAGCAUUUCCAGGCAUGUGUACUUUCUGUGCCCUGAACAUGGAGAACGGUUGGAUGGCACGGAAACAUAGCAACCAGAAGGACGCUUUACAGUGCCAGCUGUCACGGUUCAAUUCCUCUACUUUCUCCCCGUGACCACAUGGGUCUCCUCCAGGUAUUCCAACUUCCUCCCACAUUCCAAAGACAUACGAGUUAGUAAGGGGAAGCGUAUUGAAGUCAUGCUACGUGGUAUUGGAAGCAUGCCGACAGUUCCCCCAGCAUAUCCUUGGACUGUGCUGGUUGAUGACAUAAGUGACACAUUUCACUGUAUGUUUCGAUGUACAUGUAGCAAAAUAAACCUA